AAAAUGGCGCUGAAGGGGAGUGUGUUUGCAACGAGAGCUCGAGCAGGCUCGUCAAAAUUAGCUACACAAUAUGAUGCAGAUAGCAGUUCUUCAGAGGAAGAUUGAUGAUGUGCCAUCCCGAGCAGAACUUAGUCAGUACCAGCGACGCUUCAUCGAGCUCUACAACCAAGUUGCAGCCACCCACACAGAGACGAAGCAGUUUUACACAUUGUACAACACGCUGGACGACACCAAGAUGUACCUGAACAAAGAAGUCAGUCUUCUCAACUCCAUCCACGAUAACUUCAGACAGGCUAUGGCUAACCCAGGUGCAAAGGAGCAAUUCCUGAAGCAGUUUGAAAACAUUGUGGAGGGCAUCAAACAAAAUAAAGCUAAGCUUGAGAAACGGAAACAGGAAGAGAAGAUGAAACGAGACCAGUUCAACGACCAGUAUCUGGACUUGGUGGAAAAGCAGCGACUGUAUUUCAAAACUGUCAAAGACUUUAAAGAGGAAUGUCGCAAAAAUGAAAUGCUGCUUAGUAAAUUAAAGAAAUGACAUUUAUUACGAGGGAUGGGACUGAGAAAAGGACUAUUUCUAUCAACAAUGAAAACAUUAACAUUGGAAAACCAUAAUAUAUAUUGAUAUAAUCAUGAUGUUUGUAUGCUUUGCAUGGAAUUUGCUAUUUGUUAAACAUCUGUACAUGCAGGCUACAUCUACAAUCUCAACAGCAAUAAAAUUUUCUUUAC
rnacentral:misc_RNA from 1 species